GGACACUACCUUUAAAAUUACUAGGGAUUCCACUCUGGUUACGCAUGGCCUAUAGCCGCCAUAGCUUUUAUUUCUCGUUGUUUCGUGUCAGUGGAAACAUUUAUUUUAAUAACGUGAAUUAUGCCAACAUACAGGCAUUGGUUGGGGGAUUUUAGUAUUUAUUCAGCGUGUCAUUCUAAUGAGGUACGUUCAGAAACCGGACAACAACACAGCUACAUCAUUGUUGAUUGAUGAAAGCUGGCAAAAGAGUUCAAUGCGACAGAAAAUCGAAAAUGAUUCUUCGAAAUCAAGGCUAUCUUUCAGUAACAUAUGAUUGUGCGAGACAUGCUUGAGAAUUCUAAUUAUAAAUUAGGUCAAUUGAUUGUUUCGUUAUUCCUUUGAGUGGUUUGAGCUCUUGAAUUAAUAUGACUAUGGACAGAUUUUUAAGGAUUGGACCAAUUUAAAAAGCCUAUUUCCAUGAUCUGGGGCGAGAUCCCGACGGACCACGUGC